rnacentral:lncRNA from 1 species
GUUAUGUUGUUGAGUGCCAAGGUACUUUAUAAAACUGAAGGAUUUCUUGCCUGUGUAUGGAUGGCUCCAGCAAGAAAUUCUAAAUAAACUGAGUGUUCAUACACAAAAGAAUGCAUGAAGGUAGGGGUGGGGAUUGUUAAGAAGAGCCUUCUAGCAGGAUGGGGAGGAGGCAUGAAAUGCUCAAAAGUCAUUAAGAAAUGUAUGAAACUAUAAACAGUAUUGUUUUAAUUUAAGAAAUAGGAAAAAAUGGAAGGGUAAAAACACUAUCCUGACUAUGGGAAGAAUUUCUCAACUCAAUAAGUUUCAAUCUCAAAAUUAUUAUUUUUACCAAAAUUAUAACUAUUUUACAUAUUACUAACAUUUAAAAAAGCACAAAACAUGCAUUUGUGUGUGCAUGUAUGCAUGUUUGAAUGUGACGAGAUAUAUGUACAUACGUGUGAACAUAUGUGUGGAGCCAGAAGUUGAUCUCCAGGGUCGUUUUCUGUUCCUGUCUACCUUGUUCUUGAAGCCAGGUCUUUUUGUGGAACCCAGAUCGCACGGAUUCAUUGAGACCAGCUGGUCAGUACAAUCCAGGGCUCCUCUUUUCUCCACCUGCCCAGCACUGGGUCUAGAGGUGGAUGCUUUACUGUAAAUGUUAAUUAACUGUGGCGCAGAGGGGUAUGGAGUGAGGCGUGAGUGUAUGGUGUGAGUGUGUGGUGUGAAUACAUAAUGCACGUGUGCGGGUCAGAGACAAUGCUCGGGAGUUAGCUUUCUCUCUCCACCUGGGUCCCUGGGGAUUGAACUCAGUUUGCCAGAUUUGUGGGGCGAGCACUUUCCUCACUGAGCAAUCUCUCUGGCUGUUAUUUACCUCAGAACAUCCAGGAGGUUCUUGUGUUAAUGUCUACUUUGUAAGGAACAGACCAUUGUCUGGAUGUCAGUUUUGGAGUGGCUACCAACAUAACAAAAAUGAGAAGAUCUGAGUGUUUAGAUCAUAAUAAUCCGAGUCAUACUUCCAGAGUUUGAUUCCAGAUCUGUAGGAAGUAUUGUUCAUGGGACAUUUUUCUGCUGAGAUAAUGAACACUCUCAGUGGAUUUUUAAAAGCCAUCCUGCAUUUGUAAGAUCACACUAUAAAGAUCAUAGCUUUGUACCUGUUCACUGAAGAUCUCCAUAGAUCAGAAUGACAAGACCUGAAGACCCUAACUUCCCCUUCUAGUGAGCUGUAUGUGCUCAAUGCCACAGCAGCUUUGUCCCUAGUAAUAAAAGCCCGUUCUGAACCCAAGGAACACAGGGAGAAAAAUCUGUGAAUAGUUCAAAGAUGACUUAGUUUAGCAAAGUCAGCUGCUUCGAAGCCUGGAGAAAGCAGUCUGGAAACCACUGUCCUCUCACAAGAGACUUGGACACUCUCCUUUGAGAUGCCUUCCUUGCCUUCAACACAAACAGGAGACAGAGCUGGUGACGUUGGUUAAUACAACAGUGUUCUGGGCACUUGACUACCAUGAGUGGAACCUAUGCUGGCAUGAUCAUUUAGAGGAAAUCAUUUGUAGUGUUUUGACUUACAGAUUUUUUUUUUAAGUUGCAUAAGCAUGUUUAAGAUUGGACGGGCAUCUGCCGCAGUAUUCAUGGUGGUUGGUGGAGGGGCAGGGAUAUGGCUUGGAACCACCUGUAGCUGUAGUCAGCUGAUCUAUAUUCCCCUGAGAGUUACCUACAAGGUAAACCUGUCAAGCGCUGUGGGACAAAGGUUGAUCUGGGCUUGUUUUCCCCUGUCUUUAAGUUUUAUCAAGGAAAGCUUCUGAGGCUUCUGCAAGACUGAAGACUCAACACAGGCUUCAAAUCAACCCUCGGGUGUGGCUGUGUCCCCAUUCUACGGUGGUCAGGUUGUUUGGUUUUGGCUUUCUUUAAUGAAAUCUAUCAAAAUCAACUAGUCCCCAUUAACUUCUUUUUUAAAAACUGAUGUAAUGAAAUGUGCAAAUCUGAUUGGAAGGAAAAGGCUGGAAAGAAAACCCUUAGCUUUCAUUUGUAUUGUCAUUUUUUUCACUUUUUUUUAAUUAGAUAUUUUCUUCAUUUACAUUUCAAAUGCUAUCCCGAAAGUUCCCUGUACCCUCCCCCAACCCUGCUCCCCUACCAACCCACUCCCACUUCUGGGCCCUGGCGUUCCUCUGUACUACAAAAUUGUCAUUUUUAACAUGCUGCUUUUGUGUCUUUUGAAGCUUCCCCGCUUGGAACUAAGAAAGCAAAGCUCUAUGUUAUAUUUCUAUGUAUAAUUUAAGUGUUAAGCUCUAUGUUAUGUUUCUGCAUAUAAUUUAGAUGAUAUGUGAUUAUUGUAAGCAACGGCAGUCUAUAAACAGUUUUUGUGUUAAUAGUUUUGGAUUUUCCUCAUAAGUAAUUUAAAAAUAAAAUAUAGAUGUCCGUU